CUCAAGCUGGAGGGCUGAUUUAAGACCCUCAGCCAGAACUAUGGAAACCGUGGGUCUGGCCCCUGAGGGGCACCAGCUCAUAGAUUCUGGUCUCGCAAGUGAGGUUGUAGAGACCAUAUUGAAUGCUAGAACACCAUCCCCGAGGAAACUGUAAGCACUCAAGUGGCGAUUUUUUGUUUUUGUGUCUUGUGGUAUUAGUUUAGUUUUCACAAACAUCACAUUACCAUUUAGCAUAAGCGUAUGAGAAUUUUAUUGAUUAGAAACAAACAUUCAUGAAGUCUUUACACACAGAUUCAGUCUUGUUAUAUUCUGUUACAUUCUUGUCAGACUUCGUUUCCGAUUUUAAUGUUCUGUGCAUUUAAUAAGCAUUAAAUAUAGAAACUACAAAAUAUAGUGGAGUAACAUUAAAUAUAGUGGAGGUAAUCUUAAACUUAUGAACAAUUACAAGGUAAUAUCAAGUUAUACUAGUUUUGCGUAAGCAAUUCUUCAUUUACUACACCCUAACAGUGGUUCAACCAAGAACCCUCUCAGAAACAGAAAAUCUCUGUUGUAAGGUUCUACAUGAAACCUUUAUUAAUCAAAGAAUCCUUUAUAUGUAUAUAAAGUAUAUGUUAGGAUGAUUGCAGAAUGAUUGAUGUCAAAAUACUCGUAAGGUUUGAAAGGAAAAGUUCUUUACUGUAAUGAAAAUGAUGCUGAUUCAAAAGAAUUGAUGAAAUUUUAAAAAGUAUUUAGAAGAAAGAUUAGUGUUUAUUUUAUGUUUGUUGUGCAGUUAUAGUUAGAUUACGUUGCUAUUUCGUUGCCAUUAUGUCAGGCUGCUGUAUAAUUAGAGUUAUAUUAGGCCGCUGUUUAUUCGGCAGUACGUUAAGUUAAUGUUUAUUACCAUUAUAUUAAGCUGCUGUAUAGUCACAGUUACAGUCCCCCUCCAAAAAUAUUGGAACGGCGAAGCCAAUUCAUUUUUUUUUGCUGUAGAGUGAAGACAUUUGGUUUUGAGAUUAAAAGAGGAAUAUGAGAAGAGAGUUUAGAAUUUCAGCUUUUAUUUCCUGGUAUUUAUAUAUAGAUACAGAACAUAGCGCAUUUUGUAUCAGACCACCCAAUUUGUAAGGGAGCAAAAAUAUGGGAACACAUGACUGACGGGUGUUUCUUGUUCCCCAGGCGUGUCCUGUUAGAUCGACUGUUUAAACAAUAAAUAGCUCUGAACAUCUACUCUUCAGUUUCACCUGUGAAGACUGCAUAUGUUGUUAUAAAGGAUAAGCCAACAUGAAGAUCGGAGAGCUGUCUAGGGGAGAAAAGCGAGCCAUUUUGAAGCUGGGAAAGAGGGAAAAUCAAUCAAAGCCUUUGCAGAAACACUGGGUAAAGCCAAUACAACAAUUUGGAAUGUCAUGAAAAUGAAAGAAACCGCUGGUGUACUGAGGAACAGACACCGAACGGGUCAGUCAAGGAAAACAACAGCAGGUGAUGACAGAGAGCUGUGAAGAAAAACCCAACAACAACAGUCAGUGACAUCACCAACAAGCUCCACAGGGCAGAAUUGAAGGCAUCACAAGCCACCGUUUGAAGAAGUCUUCGAGAGCAGAAAUAUCGAGGCCGUACCACAAGAUGCAAACCAGUCAUCAGCAGUACGAGUCAGAAAGUCAAAUUGGAAUUGGCAAAGAAAUACAGAGAUGAUCCACAAAAGUUCUGGAACAAGAUGAACCUCUACCAAAGUGAUGGAAAGUCCAAAGUGUGGAGAAAGAAAGGAUCUGCUCAUGAUCCAGAACAUACAAGCUGAUCUGUGAAACAUGGUGGAGGUAGUGUCAUGGCUUGGACUUGCAUGGCUGCUUCUGGAACAUUCUCACUGAUCUUUAUUGAUGAACUCAUGAUGGAGCAGCAGAAUGAAUUCAGAACUGUACAGGACCAUUCUGUCUGCAGAUUUCAGAGAAAUCCAUCCGAAUGAAUCAGAGGAACUUCAUCAUGCAGCAAGACAACGAUCCAAAACACACUUCCACCCUAACACAGGACUUCAUCAGGGGGAAAGUGGAAGGUUUUAGACUGGACAAGUCCAUCACCAGACCUUCACCCAACUGAUCAUCUCACCUCCUGAAGAGGAGACUGAAGGGAGAAACCCCCGAAACACACAACUACUGAAAGAAACUGCAGGAGAAACCUGGAGAAGCAACACAAGUGUCAGUGAGUCACAGGACUGAUGCAGUUUGAUGAGUUUUUUCAAGCAAGGGACACGCAGCCGAAUGUUAAGUGUUAUUUACUUUCAUUUACUUCAAGACUUAUCUGUUCCUAUACUUUUGCUCACCUAAAAAGUGGGUGGUCUGAUACAAAAGGUUGUAUGUUUUAUGUUUAACACGUCUAGAUGUAAACACCAGGAAAUAAAAGCUGAAAUCCUAAACUCUCGUUUCAUCUCCAUCUUUUCAUCUCGAACCCAACAGUCUUGGGUGUUCACCAAACUAAUGAAUUAGCCUCGGCCUCUCUGAAGGGAUCGUUUCUUACGCUGCUGUGUAGCUACAGUUAUCUUAGACUGCUGUGUAGUUACAGUUAUGUUACGCUGAUGUGUAGUUACAGUUAUGUUAGACUGAUGUGUAGUUACAGUUAUAGGAGGUAUCACCGUAGUUUGAGUGUCACCAUGUCCGUCACUUUUCGGAAUGAGAAAGGGAAUAACUAGCCCAAUAACAACAACAACAACAACAACAAAAGCAGAGACACCCAAACAGAUACAGCAUCUUUGGGAUGGCCGUGGAUGAACUGGUAUAAGCUGUUGGAAAAAAAAAGAAAACACAAUGAAACACAAAAUCCACUGCAAACCUGUUCUCUAUUCCAGAGCAGACUCUGAGAAAACAAUCCGUGAACAAUUUAAAAUCAUGCAAAUUGUUCUAGUUACUGAAUAAUCAUGGAAAUUAGAACAGGCAGAAAUGAUCAUUUACUACAUGUUCAACACUCACCGGGGUACUGGGGUCCAUAGAGACCAGAUAAUCACUGACGGAUUUCAGUGCCUCCUCAUUGGUCAAGCAUUCCAGCAGUCCCUUAUCUUCAUGACAGAGGAAGUCUACGGCAAAUACACCAUCCCUAUCCACACACCCUUUGCUCUGUGGUGCAAUGUGAUUUUCAUCAAACGUGUGGUGGAGCACCACGAGGAUGACAGGCCGAUUUGCUGAGAGAGAGAGAGAGAGAGAGAGAGAGAGAGAGAGAGAGUGAUAGAGUGAUAGAGAGAGAGAGAGAGAGAGAGUGAGAGAGAGAGAGAGAGAGCGAGAGAGAGGGAGAGAGAGAGAGAUAGAGUGAAUGAGAGAGGGAGAGAGAGAGAGAGAGAGUGAUAGAGUGAUAGAGAGAGAGAUAGAGAGAGAGAGAGAGAGAGAGAGCGAGAGAGAGUGAGAGAGAGGGAGAGAGAGAGAUAGAGUGAAUGAGAGAGGGAGAGAGAGAGAGAGAGAGUGAUAGAGUGAUAGAGAGAGAGAGAGAGAGAGAGAGAGAGAGAGAGCGAGAGAGAGGGAGAGAGAGAGAGUGAAUGAGAGAGAGAAAGGAUAGUGUCGUGUUAAUACGUUACUGUGUUACGUCACUAUUUCUCAGUAAACACCAGAUCCGAGGUGGUAAAGCUCGGCAGGCCCGAGGCUGGUAUGAAAUGAAUUUAACUGGCAUUAAUGGACAAUGAAAGAUCAGUUCUUCUGACUUUAUUUUAAAUUAAUUUGAAUAAUGCAUCAGUGUGAUUAUUUAAAUACAUACAGUCUGCCUCUAUUGUGCAUUCUUUCUAAUUUAAUACAACAGUUUUUAUUAGAAAUUAGAUUAUCGACAACAAUUUGAGUGAAAAGUAGAAGCUUUGAAAUAUUUACAUGAAGUUUCUUAGUAUUUGGUACGUCCCGUUUUUGCUUGUGACCGUGUGCACUUGAGCUGCCGUUGACUCCACAAGUUUGUGUAAAACCUCAUGAUCCAUUUUAGAUCAAAUCCAUCGGAGUGUCGUCUGAUCACACGCUUCAGUAGAAGAGAUCAGACAUGAUUACAAUCUGACCUUUUGUACAAAGCAGUGAACAUGGUUGUCAGGUCAUCUCGGUCUGCAAGCUCCGCUUCCCAGCAGGCACCGCGGCCUAAAAACAUGGCCACCGCGGACUACGUUCCCCAGAGCACACAUACACUGCCUCGAUCACAAUCACCGAGCUUCUGUUUGAACACACCUGCGUUCAAUCGACCACACACACACACGCUGGCUCUUUAAAACAGACUCUUAUUCACAACAUGAAUGUGAAGUAUAUGCUCCGUUUUGUCUCUGUGUACCUGACGUCACCUGGCCUGUGCUUAGACUUUGUUAUAGUUUAUCGAUUUACGUUUCUGCCUAGCCGAUUUCAGUCUGUUUGUUCAUCGCCUGAUCUCCGCCUGGUUUCUGACACCGAACCUGCCUAUAAAUCCUGGAUUUGUUUGCCUGUGUUUUACUAAACUGGUUAACCUGCAAACCUCCAUUACGUGAUAAUGGUCAACAUCAUACGUUAGCUUACAUUUAAAUAGGGCCCUAGAAAUAGUGCAGAAUCUUGAAUAUUAAAUAUUGAAGAUAUUGCACAUUUACUUUCAUUCAUCACUAUUGUAGAAUGUGGCAGAAAUCCAAAAUAAACAUGGUAUUAGUAUUUAAUGGUAUUUACUGGUAUUUAACUUGGUAUUUAAAAUUAGCACAAAAAACUAUCAAAUAGUACAGGUAUGAUUUUUUUAUGCAUUCUUGACUACUAACCGCUUCACAUUGAAAGAACUGGUUAAAGCUACGUUCUAAACUGCAUACUACAGUUCUAGAUAUUAUGUCAGAACAGUCUGUCAGGCAAAUAUGGGAAUGUAUGCUGGCGUUCUGUUUUGUCUU
ensembl:lncRNA